UUAUCAAAAUAUACAAGAGGUGUUAGAUAAACACGUAGAAAAUAUUAUAUAAACAUUAAGAAAGUUAUUACAAGAUAUAUACCAUACAUAUAAAAAAAAUAAAUGUUCCACACAUAAGAUUUCAAUAUAAAUUUUCUAUUUCGUAUCUCAAGUUUAUUUCUGAAUAAAGGAAAUGCUAUUGUCUUAACAUACACGAAUGCUAUAUCAAAUAUAUUUAUGAUUUUACAUAUCUAUGUGCUGUAAGAUAAUAUUUAUAAUAGUGAAAAUGAAUGAUUUUCUUACCUAAUUUAUGAAGGAAACUUCCAUAAUUAUUAAGAGUAAAGGUAUGCCUGAGAGGAAUAUGCUUCAGAAAACAGAGGAUCCAACAUCAGGGCUCUUCUCAAAAGAUUAAGUGCCGCUUCAGUUUUACCCAACUGACUGCGUUUUGUAGAAAGAAAAAUGAUUGUUUUUGGUUUUCUAAAUAACUUUCGUACUUUAAAAAAAAUCGAUAAAGUUAAAACACAUUAGAAGAAGUAUGAAUAGAUAACAAC